GACAAACACACAAGAUUGUUUUUUUUUUUAAACAAAACACAAGAUUGUUGAGCAUUAAAAACACAAGUAGGUAUAGUUUGUCCGUUUAGUUAUCUCAAUAAUUCACUUUAACAUCAUGCUCUUAAAUCCAAUAACGACCACUGCUACACGAUCCGCUUGGGACGUGAAACGAGCGUGACAAUUCCAUUUGUAGAAUAAAAUAAUAAUCCAAUUAUAACAAAUUAUUAUUAAUUUGUUUCCACUACCUAAUUGUUAAAAGAUUUAUAAAUUAAGAUACUAAAUUUUCAAUACAUUUCAUUAGUUAGCUUGAGUUUCGGUUUAGCAUUUUGAAGCAAAAUUUCGUUAUUAAAACGAAAAUAUUAAUGUCUUCAAAUGAUCAACACCUUAUUAAUACAGCUGCUAACUCUCUAGUUUUCUUUAACUUUGUUUUUCUCUAGAGUCGAUCAAAAUAAUUCUUGAUGAUGGGCAUGCUUUUAUAAAGUUACAUGUAAAUUCUUUUUUCCAUUUUCUGAUUUACUUAUGUGGUAGGUAGUGUAAACUUAUGGUGAAUUAAUCACUGUUUAAUUAUAGUUUAUAUCCACUCCGCUUUAAACUUUAGUACGUACAACCCAAAUGUCAGAACACAGUCCACAUGAUUUUGUCUGACGUAUAAAAUAAAAAUGAUAGCCCACCUGAUUUAAUUACAUCUUCUUUUGCUACGAGAUAAUCUUUUUUGCUAGAAAAAAUGUUCUUUUGAAGAACAGACAUAUAAAUGUUCUUAGUUUACAAAAAAAAGACAUAUAAAUGUUCUUUCGAAUAAUUAUAAAAUCACGGAAAAGUAAACAAAUUGUAUUGAAUUAUUCAUACCAUCAUAAUACAGGAAUUGAUUGAUUGACUCAUAUAAUCGACCGGUUGGAUCUCUUUAAUGAUUUUAGAAUAUUUGAAAUAUUUUUAUAUAAGAAAAUAAAUUCUAAAUAAUGCAAAUUGUUUUUAAAAGGCACAAAAAGGAUAAAUAAUUCAGUUACAAAAAAGGAUAAAUAAUAAUCAAAUAAUUAAAUAUUGAGAGGUCGCAAAACAAGAUCUGACAGAGAUAGAUGAAGAAUGGGUUGUCAUGUUCACCAACACAAGUCCCACUUCUGAGAGAGAUCUCUAGUCUCUAACUAACUACUUACAACCAAUCAACAGCUCACUGACAAUUCCCUAACUUUUAAUCAUCAUUUCCAAAAGAAAAGCUGAAAAAAUUCAUAGCCUUUCAACUUUCAAUAUACACACAUUGUUGUCGACGAUUAUACAUUUGAUUUUAGUUUGGUCUUACAGAUAUUAAAACUAAACAAUACAGUUUGUAUGUGAAAGAUGACAAGGGCUUAUUAGUGACUGGGUCAAGAACCCUACUCAACAUCACAUUCUUAAAAGAUAUUUUUAAUGUUACACAAAUAGUUCGUGAUUGAAUAAUUAAAACAAGAAGCCAAUGUAUGGCACAUUCAACUUCCCCAUGAGCAUAGAUGAGAGAGUGUCUGAUGCAAAAAUCACUCAAUCAUUGCUUCUCCUUCGACUUCUCUCUAAUGGCUCUUCUUUCCUCUUCCCUGCAUAUGUGUUCAUUCAAAGCAUUGUCAAGUCAAAAAAAUAUAAGACAGCCCAAAGGAUUUCCUUCUUUCAGUUCAUGGUUUUUGAUGAGGAGGCUUCUCCAUCUCUUCAAUAGCAUCAGGCCCUCAGCUUCAUCAUCAUCAUCUUCCUCUACAGUUUCCUGUAGGUUAAUGUAUUUCGGUUAUACAGCUACUAGAGUAACCACAAAGAAUCCGUUUCCAUGUUGUGUACAUGAGGGUAAAAACGUUUAGUCUUCUUUAAAGAUAGAUGGAAUCGGUGUUCUCUAAACUUUGUAAAUCUGAUAAAACCAAGACAAAGAUUUGGAGACGUUAAAGACAGUAUCAUUGUGAUGUUCAUUUACAUAUCCCAACAGAUAGAACUGUGUACAUUACCCGUCUUGGCCAAAAUCGAGUCCAGUUUUAACAAGUUGAACAUAAUCAAUGACAGAUUCACCAACGAGCUGUUGGUCCAUGGUAAAGAAGUUUCUGGUAGGCACUCCGCCACUUGGAUUCAAUUCUCGUUGGGAUUACCUAUUUAUAUUGUUUGGAUUCCCGAAAAAGAGGAGAAACCAUUUCUUUUUACCAAACAAAAUGACAGCUUUGUUCUGCGCAAUUUUUUCAUACAAAAGGAAAAAUUAAGGAUGCA